rnacentral:lncRNA from 1 species
AUUCCUGAAUCAGAAUGAUGAGAUGAAUCAUCAGACAUCGGGGACCCAUGCAUGAUUCCAGAACUAGCGAGAGGACUGCUAGAUGAGAUCCGCCCAUCUCGAACCACUUUAGAAUUCUCACUCCCAACCCUGAGAGGACCAAUUUGAGGUGAAACAAUAUUUCCAUGAGGCUUAUGCUGGUUCUGGUUAGAAAAACCACCAACGGAAUCUUUAAUAUUAGUCAAUGAGGGUAAGGAAUUUAUCAAAGAACUAGUCUGAGGCUUCCAAUAUGCAGCAGCAAUAGAUUUCAGGUACUUGUUGUGGCCAAAAGCAAACCUUGCUAAAGCUGAAAGUAGAAAGAAAACCUAUGUAAGAUAUCUUAGAUUCAGCCUACCAGUCCAUCCAUACCAUAAAGACAACAUAUGUUAAUCUUAAACAGAUGCACAAGCCAACCAUCUAACCAUGCAUAAGAUUUAGCAAUCAUCAUUAAAAAAAUCAGAUAAUAAAUCAAAAACACAAAUUAAAAAAACAAUAUGAUGGUUUUCAAUGCAUGUUUAACCAUUUUAUCAUUGGAUUUUUCUUUUUCAUUCGAAUUUUUAUUCCUUUUUCUAACUUCAAGUCUAUUAGCCGAUAAUAGCUUGUCUGAAGAUGAUUAAGAAUUUGUUGAGACCAUAACUAAAAACAAAGAAAAAAUAAUUAACUCGCAGUAUCAGUACUAUCCAUCUUAUCAUAAUCGUAAUAAUAUAGAACAUUUUUUCAACAACAUUCAAAUUAAAAUAUAAUUCAGAUAUUUAAUCACCUACCCACUGCAACCUCAGCCCUCACCAACGGACUCCCAUCUGAAGCAACACUCAACAGACUCUUAACUAUACUAACUUCAGCCCUAAACUUGCCAUCAUCAUCACAUUCUUCACCUCCUCCAACACUUCCACAUGAAUCAAAUCCCACAUCAAGAAGUGUGCCCAGUGCAAAAACAGCAGAUGCUCUAACCUGAGAAGCAAUAAAUUACAUGACUUGAUUAUUUAAAUAUUAAAAAAAAAUUUAAUCAUCUUGCAAUGAGAACUAGAAAAAGUAUAGUAAGUGUGGCAGUACCUCUGGCUGGGGUUCAGAAAGUAGAGGAGCAUAUAUAGAAGUAGCAUCUUCAUGCAAACCGAUUGCUUGCGCCUCUGUGUAGUCUUCCCACAAUUUCCCCAGACACAAGCACAGCCACUGAAGGAAAAGGGGUUCGGUUUGUGAAUCAUUGAGAGAUGAGCUCUGAAGGUGCUUUAAGCAGACUUGGAUCAAACCAGCUUCAAUACAAGCUUCUUGACCUCUUCUAUGACCAUCCACAAUCACAGCUAAAACAAAAGCAGCCAUUGCUCGUUGCUCUGGAUAUGCUUCCAUGCUAUCAAGAAACUUAAUAAAAUAGAUAUGACCUCCAUCUUUCACUAGAGCAACCUGACAUGACAACAACACGUAUGGAACAUCAAAAUUGAAAGACACAGUCAACAUAAAGCAUGAAGGGUUUCAACACCAAAUUGUAGCAGAAAAAUAGAAAAUGAGAUACAUAUUAGAAGACAAAAACAUGAAGCCUUGUAAUAUUCACAAUUGUUCAAUUAUCAAUUCGAAUUUAUAUUAUAUAAUUAUAUAACUAAGCACCAAUAAAAGGCAUGAUCGCAUGAACCCCCCCCCCCCCAAACUUUUACACUUUUGGAAAGUACUCGGCGGCCAAGGUUAGCAAUGCGGGGCGAUGGAUCUUUUGCUAAAGUACACAUAGCAAGUACACAUUGUGAAUAUAAUGCAUUAUCCAAGGGUUUUGGCCCAGUGUGGUUAACCACUCCAUUACUGAAACCAUCAUUCAAUAUUCCUGAAUCAGAAUGAUGAGAUGAAUCAUCAGACAUCGGGGACCCAUGCAUGAUUCCAGAACUAGCGAGAGGACUGCUAGAUGAGAUCCGCCCAUCUCGAACCACUUUAGAAUUCUCACUCCCAACCCUGAGAGGACCAAUUUGAGGUGAAACAAUAUUUCCAUGAGGCUUAUGCUGGUUCUGGUUAGAAAAACCACCAACUGAAUCUUUAAUAUUAGUCAAUGAGGGUAAGGAAUUUAUCAAAGAACUAGUCUGAGGCUUCCAAUAUGCAGCAGCAAUAGAUUUCAGGUACUUGUUGUGGCCAAAAGCAAACCUU